CGCGUAGGCCGUGUCAUAAGUCAGUUGUAAAAGCUCUGGGCUUAACCCAGAGCGGCACCUGAAACUGUGAUGCUGGAGGCAUGGAGAGGCAGACAGAAUUCCUGGUGUAGCGGUGAAAUGCGUAGAUAUCAGGAAGAAUACCGGUGGCGAAGGCGGUCUGCUGGCCAUGAACUGACGCUGAAGCGCGAAAGCUAGGGGAGCAAACG
rnacentral:rRNA from 1 species